rnacentral:rRNA from 1 species
CGGCGGACGGGUGAGUAACGCGUGGGUAACUACCCUGUACACACGGAUAACAUACCGAAAGGUAUGCUAAUACGGGAUAAUAUAUUUGAGAGGCAUCUCUCGAAUAUCAAAGGUGAGCCAGUACAGGAUGGACCCGCGUCUGAUUAGCUAGUUGGUAAGGUAACGGCUUACCAAGGCGACGAUCAGUAGCCGACCUGAGAGGGUGAUCGGCCACAUUGGAACUGAGACACGGUCCAA